CAGCUUGUUGGUGGGGUAAUGGCCUACCAAGGCGACAAUCCGUAGCUGGUCUGAGAGGACGAUCAGCCACACUGGGACUGAGACACGGCCCAGACUCCUACGGGAGGCAGCAGUGGGGAAUCUUGCCCAAUGGACGCAAGUCUGAGGCAGCGACGCCGCGUGAGGGAAGAAGGCCCUAGGGUUGUAAACCUCUUUCAGCAGGGACGAAGCCACUCGGGUUAAUAGCCCAGAGGGUGACGGUACCUGCAGAAGAAGCCCCGGCUAACUACGUGCCAGCAGCCGCGGUAAUACGUAGGGGGCAAGCGUUGUCCGGAUUUAUUGGGCGUAAAGAGCGUGUAGGCGGCCAGAUAGGUCUGUUGUGAAAACUGGAGGCUUAACCUUCAGACGUCGAUGGAAACCAUCUGGCUAGGGUCCGGAAGAGGAGAAUGGAAUUCCUGGUGUAGCGGUGAAAUGCGCAGAUAUCAGG
rnacentral:rRNA from 1 species